CCUACGUGAGGCAGCAGUGAGGAAUAUUGGUCAAUGGACGAGAGUCUGAACCAGCCAAGUAGCGUGAAGGAUGACUGCCCUAUGGGUUGUAAACUUCUUUUAUAUGGGAAUAAAAUGUUCCACGUGUGGGAUUUUGUAUGUACCAUAUGAAUAAGGAUCGGCUAACUACGUGCCAGCAGCCGCGGUAAUACGGAGGAGCCGAUCGUUAUCCGGGUUUAUUUGGUUUAAAGGGAGCGUAGGUGGAUGGUUAAGUCAGUUGUGAAAGUCUGCGGCUCAACCGUACAAUUGCAGUUGAAACUGGCAGUCUUGAGUACAGUAGAGGUGGGCGGAAUUCGUGGUGUAGCGGUGAAAUGCUUAGAUAUCACGAAGAACUCCGAUUGCGAAGGCAGUUCACUGGCAUGCAACUGACACUGAGGCUCGAAAGUGUGGGUAUCAAACAGGAGUAGAUACCCGUGUAGUC
rnacentral:rRNA from 1 species